CAGAGGGUAAUUGAAACCAAAGAAAUGACUCCAUCACUUAUCCAAAGCACACCUCUAGAGGCAAGGAGGAACAGAAAUCUCAGCCAGCAGGGCAAGAGAACGGCCACAUGUGGACAGGUGGCAGCAUGAGAAUGUUUAAUUGCUUGUCAUGUUAUUAGCAUGUGGAGCUUGUGAAGCACAUAGCCCCAACUUAAAGCCUUGUGUUAUAAUUUUUUAGGUGGUGCAGCAGGUAUACCAUCCAUGUAACUAAACUAAAUAUAUUGCUUUUUUCUAAAUAUCAUGUACUUUGGUGAUUAGAAGCUUGGGGAUCCUUUUGCUGAAAUUAUUUUCUUUUUCUUUUUCUUUUUGAGACAAAGUCUCACUUCUGUUGCCCUGGGUAGAGUGCCAUGGUAUGAUACCUCACAGCAACCUCAAACCUCACUCAAGUGAUCCUCUUACCUCAGCCUCCUAUGUAACUAGGACUACAGGCACCCACCACAAUACCUGGCUAGUUUUUCUAUUCUAAGUAGAGAUGGAGUCUCACUUUUGCUUAGGCUGGUCUCAAACUCCUGAGCUCAAGCAAUUCACCUGCCUCGGCCGCCCAGAGUGCCAGGAUUACAGGCAUGAGCCACUGCACCAGCUUCUACUGAAAUUUUUAAAGAAAACUCCAGAGAGUCAACAGUAACUUUAAGGCUGAGGCAGCUUUCAAGAGAAAAGGAAAGUGGCAGGUAACAGAAGGUGAACAUGGAUCGGAGUUGCUGUCACUUUCCAGCACAGCCCAAGGAGAAUAUAAAACCUCAGAACAGAAAUGGCUGAGUGGUGUCCAGGGACAGGUGAUCUGAGCCAGCUUCAAAGAGCCUCUUCAUUAGGCCUGGAAAGAGAAGAAAUUCACAGGAGACAAUCAGUCUUCCUUAGCUCUUCCUUGGUUAUGAGCAAGAGAUGCCUGGAUGUAAGAGGUAAGGAAGAAGCGAUCUGGGUUUUGGUGUGGAUACUGCAUUCUGAAUUCCCUGGAGCAAUUUAAAGUCCAAAGAGCUAACAGCAGAAUCACCAAUUAUCUACUUUCACCCCCAGAUGUGGCAGAUCUUAAUGCUUAUCUAAAAUUUAGAAGAACCUUUGUUAAAAAUGGAGAUGAUUAAGAGAGAAUGUCAGAACUCUACCAUAG